UCCCCCAGGUGCGAUUCUGAU
rnacentral:miRNA from 1 species